UACGUAGGGUGCAAGCGUUAAUCGGAAUUACUGGGCGUAAAGCGUGCGCAGGCGGUGAUGUAAGACAGAUGUGAAAUCCCCGGGCUCAACCUGGGAACUGCAUUUGUGACUGCAUCGCUGGAGUACGGCAGAGGGGGAUGGAAUUCCGCGUGUAGCAGUGAAAUGCGUAGAUAUGCGGAGGAACACCGAUGGCGAAGGCAAUCCCCUGGGCCUGUACUGACGCUCAUGCACGAAAGCAUGGGGAGCAAACAGG
rnacentral:rRNA from 1 species